AUGUUAUCAAGAAAGGUGGAGGGAUUAGACCCUAUGAAGCCUUAGCAACCCUUUGUGCAAACAAAGAAGGUGCUAAAUUCUACCAGAGUGCAAAACUCAAGGAUAGAUAACCC
rnacentral:ncRNA from 1 species